AAAUCCGUCGACUUUAGAAAUCAUGAGG
rnacentral:tRNA from 2 species